rnacentral:rRNA from 2 species
GACGAACGCUGGCGGCGUGCCUAACACAUGCAAGUCGAACGGGAUCCAUACUAUGAAGUCUUCGGAUGGAUUAGUAUGGUGAGAGUGGCGGACGGGCGAGUAACGCGUGAGCAACCUGCCCUAUACUGGGGGAUAACACCGGGAAACCGGUGCUAAUACCGCAUAAGACUACGAGAUCGCAUGGUUUUGUAGUCAAAGCUCCGGCGGUAUAGGAUGGGCUCGCGUCCAAUUAGCUAGUUGGUGAGGUAACGGCCCACCAAGGCGACGAUUGGUAGCCGAACUGAGAGGUUGAUCGGCCGCAUUGGGACUGAGACACGGCCCAGACUCCUACGGGAGGCAGCAGUGGGGAAUAUUGCGCAAUGGGGGCAACCCUGACGCAGCAACGCCGCGUGAAGGAAGAAGGCCUUCGGGUUGUAAACUUCUUUGAUCGGGGACGAAACUGACGGUACCCGAGGAACAAGCCACGGCUAACUACGUG